CAUUUCAUUUAAUCAAAACUAUGUCACAAUAUUUUGUGGUGCAAGAAGAUUGAACUGGGAUAAAUCAAAAAAUAAAAUGUAUUUUCAGACUAGAAAUGAUUGUUGUUUCUUCCAUACAAAUAUCAAUUGUCAAGUAACAUCCUGUCUGAGUCUUUGCUGUCUGGACUGUGUGAGCUCUUCAUAAAAAAAGGAGUAUUUAGGGACAUUAGCAACACAAACUCACUGUAGUAGUGCAACAUCGCUCAUCUGAGAAGAGAGGGGAUAUAAGAUAAAACUGAUAAGAUGAAGUUCCUCUUCAUACUCAGCAUUGAAACUGAGACAGAGGCAUGAUAUAAAUAUCUGUGGCACGUUUAAAUUAAAACCAGUUUGUUUUCACUGUAAGCAAAACAUAACAGUUUUCAGCCAACGGUAUACGCAGACACUCGCUCAUAUCUAGCUUGGUUUGCUACUACAUUCUAGCAAAGCUAGUUACUAAGCAAGACUUCCUGUACCUGCGAAUCUCACAUUGAUAGGAGGCUACUGCCAUCUACUGACAUAAGUUAGUAUUGAAAUACAAGUACAAUUAUUGAUGUUCCAUAGUUUUGAAGAAGUUAGGUGCACUUGUUUUAAAGUUUUGUUAAUUGUA